GCCCAGCAUGGCCGUGAGGUCGCAAUGCGUGUCAUCGUUGAAGGCGUGCCCCGUGUAGCCCUGGCCAGGAGGCGCGUGAGGCAGGUCUCGCAG
rnacentral:SRP_RNA from 14 species